UACGGAGGGGGUGAGCGGUGUUCGGAAUUACUGGGCGUAAAGCGCGCGUAGGCGGAUUGGAAAGUUGGGGGUGAAAUCCCGGGGCUCAACCCCGGAAUUGCCUUCAAAACUCCCAGUCUUGAGGUCGAGAGAGGUGAGUGGAAUUCCGAGUGUAGAGGUGAAAUUCGUAGAUAUUCGGAGGAACACCAGUGGCGAAGGCGGCUCACUGGCUCGAUACUGACGCUGAGGUGCGAAAGCGUGGGGAGCAAACAGG
rnacentral:rRNA from 1 species